AAAAUUAGUUUAAUUAAAACAUUAGUUUUGGAUACUAAAAUUUACUUUGUA
rnacentral:tRNA from 1 species